CUCUUCUGCAUGACAGCUCUAACACACAAUGAUCAAGGAUUAUGUGCCUGAAGACGCAGCUAUGAUCCUAAAAGAACAGUGUCACAAAAAGGUGCUAAUAUUGCUUCAUAAUGUUACUGCAUCAUGAAGCAGAGGGAAAGCAGAAUAUCCUCGGCUCACCGUGCUGCCUAUGGAGACAUACAGAAUGAAGCUUUGGCUCCCUGAAGUCCCUACACUUUUGCUAACCCAGCAUGGAAAAUGUCUGAAGGCAUGGCAUUUACACUUUUAAGAAACAUCUAUUCAUUUCAGUUCUGCCAAAGCUAAAUACAUUUAUAGAUUUGUUCAUAUUUAUUUUUAGAGCAGAAUUCUGUUUGUUUGACAAUAUCUGAAAAAUUAAAUACCUGGGGCAACAUCACCGACUGCAGCUGGUACACUGGAAACUUGGGGAAAUACUUGCUGUAAUUGUGAGGGGUUUAUUUAAUACCUCUCAAUGCAGAGUUAACUCAUUCAGUGAGGACAGCCUGUCUGGUGGGCUGCUAGAGCUGCCCUCACUGCCGUGCUGCGGGCACUGCCCACCCGUCCUGCCCAUACAGACAGGACAGCGCUGCCCCAGGCUGAGCACGGCAUCACCUUUGGCUUCUCUCUGCCCCUCCAGCUUACCCAGACACAUACUGACAGGCAACCCCCAGCACCUCAGAGGUACUACUCAACAGCAGCCGUCUUCCUUGCUCCAGAAGUUCACGCUUUGCAGUUAAGCAGCAUCUUUUUUUUCAUUCAGUGACCUCAAAGUACUUUGCAAACAUUUAAUUAAACCUUUCUGCCUCCGUGUGCAAUAGGUACUGGGCCCUUUGACCAGAUAAGCAAACAAAGGUAUAAGGAGCCACCAGCAAUCUACAAUUUAAGCUCUAUUAAAGGGUUUUCAACUAGGCAGUGGAACCAGAGGAAUCCCAAGUCAGCAAUGAGAAAAGAGGCGUGGGCUGGCCUGGAGCACGGAAUCCACAGCCCCUCCUGCAGCCGAGAGGCGAGUCCCUGGGCGCAGCCGUGCCGGGGGAGCCAGCAGCAUCCCAGGAUGGCCCACAGCUGGGCUGGGUUGCUGCACCCCAAGGACGCAGCAGGCUCUGGACCCGCUGAGCUGUGACCCGAACCACACUGGCAGGACAGUUAACAAACCCCUGGAUUCUUCCCACCCAAUCUGCACUUUCCAUGACCUCUUUCUUUCAUCGGUAAAAGUAAAUUGAAUUCAGCACCUUUAAAGACCCUGUCUGGAUCCAUAACAUUCACAACCACGCUGUAACCAUGAAUGAAAAUCUAAGAGAGGGUAUGGUUUGUAUCCAAGGGCUCUUUUGCUUUUUAUAUGUUUACAUAUACCAGCCAAUGGUCAGCAAAUAAGCGCCAUGGCUUGUAAUGAAAUGUUCGAACCAUCUGUUUUAAUCUGCGAUUUAAUUUCACUGUAAAAUAUUAAAGUUGUUCCGAUGGUUGGGCUGGUAGGGCUGCUUUAUAUGAAAAGGAUUGAGUAUCCCAGAGCAAUUACACUGCACCAAGCACAUGCUACGGGUAUUAUAUUCUGUAUUGUUAUUUUGUUCCAUUAAAAACCUUAAAAAGCCUUCUUAAUACAGCAUGACAGAGUUUUAGGUCUCUCCUUUUUGUUAGAAAAAAGUAGCAGAUGCUGAGGACAAGUAUUAAGGAUCUUUUUGAAAACAGCAUGAAUUUUUCAAAGUGCUAAAAAUAAAUAAAGUUUAAAAAAGCUUGCACGCAACCAAGCGAAGAGGGACUGAGGAAGAGGAGAAGAUUUCUGUGUCACACAGAGGAAGGUGCCUCAAGUUGAUGGUCAGCACGGGGCAGUGCCGGUGUGACAGCCUCUGGUUGUUGUCCCAGCGAUGUAUCAGCAUUCGCAGCGUCAGAAGGUAGGUCAGAAGCUUCAGGGCCACGGCGAGGCACUUCGCCCUAGUGUCGUCUCCUGCAAUGCAUUGCACAAACAAAACAAUCAUUCCUUACAUUAGUAAAAUAAUACAGUAAGACUAAGUUGUGUGGGAUUAUUUUACAUCAUUUCUGACACUGACUUUUUGCCUUUACCAGCAGCUGCGUCAUGGCCCAGGAUUAAAAUGCCUGCGCUUGCUUGCAGCGGUGCUGAAAUUAGGUGGCUGAUCCCUCCUUUCUGCGCUCCCACUUCACAUCCACACUCGAGCUCAUCAGGCCUCUAAAGAGACAGUGGCUGAGAAAGGAAGAAACCUCCUCCCAGACAACAAUUAUUUCAAAUUAUUUCCACCUCUUUUUGGUGUGGACCUCCAAAGGAAUGAAGAUAUUGUCCUGGUAGCUGGAAGUUCCGGUCAAAUCUUAACCGUGGGCUUGAAAGGACAGCUAGAGGUUGCUCUUUCAGCAGGUACGCGUUUUCGCCCCUGCCCCAAAUUUCACAUGGGACCUCGAACAAGUCCCAACACUCUCAAUAAGCAGCAUCCCAAUGCUGCGGUCCUGGUCUGUCUCACUUCUGGGCUGUCUGAUGGCUGGGAUGGACAUGGGGCAAUAACGAGGAGCUUGGGUUGGUAUCAUUGGUGUACCCGAAAUACAGAGCCUUUCUCCACAUGCUGGGACUCUUAGCAAUCUGGUGAAAGGGACACACGUGUGUUUCACCUGGCAGAAGCUCCCCGUCUCGGAGGCAGGAAGCAUCGCAGCCCCGUGAACCCGGUGCUUUAGCUAAUCUAAAGCCCUGCAGGGAGUCGGGGCUAAUUAACUCAGCGCUGUGGCAUCCUGACAUAACUCCAUGGCUUCUGGGACCCAGGCUAGUAUUUCUACCCAGCACUCUGCCGUGCUACGUGAUAUAUCUGCUUGCCAAGGCUUGCUCAGGUCCGAGCCCAGGACAGGGAGAGGCAGGGAUGGCACCCACCGGCUGCCCCCCGCCCCCGGGCUCUGCAGCAGGCAUUUGCCAUUGCACCCACGGUCACGCGGUGCUCAGUGUUAUUUGGAGUAUAUGCUACUUGCUAUGCCUUUUUCCUGAACAUAAGCUGGAAAUUACUGAUUUUUACCUUACACAGCUAGUAUAAAAGCACUAAUGUCCUAAUGAAGAGUCUCACUUAGCUAAAUGCUUCAUACAGCUGAGUAAAACAAAGAAUUUUACUAGAGCUUAACCCAGUCAUUAAUAAGCUUUUUAACCCUGACCUUUCAAAUCAAUGAUCUACCACUGGUUUUACCUUUCAAGAAGGAAUUCCAUUUUCAAGUGAUAAAACAUAUUUUGCACUCCUUACAAUCUAAUGAUUAUUCUCAGCGUUACUGGAUAUAUGAGGCCAUCAAACCAUUAGAAGGUAUAAAAUGUAUUAAUGUACAGCAUUCAUGGCUACAUUUGCUUUAGAGUCAAUAAAAAGGAAACAAUUUAUAAAGGGCAUUUAUGCUCAUUACAGAAUAUCGAUAGAUUGUUUCUCCCAUCGUUUCUGAAGUAUGAAGGACUCCCGUUCAUGAUGGAUAGGAGAGGAUUUGCAUAAGCUCUUUGCUUAUGCCCUGAACUUCCCCAGCACAGAGCCGCGUGCAGGGGGCUGUGGCCAGGCUUUGUGCUGGGAUGCAUGCGGGGUGGGACCCACAAACUCUUCCUUCCUGGGGGAUCGAGCAUCUCGGUUUGGGAGUUACUUGCAGCAGCCUUGCGAAGGCUCUGUAGGCAACUAUGGUGUCUUCAGCCCCAGACAUGAAUCGUCACAAGGCUGUGGGCAAAUCGGAUCAAGGGUGGAAAAGAAGAAGGGAAUCUGUUUAUGAGGAAGGUCAGGAGUACACAAAUGAUGGCAGAGCUUUGCAGAGUGCCUUCCUAAGCAGUUGGGGGAUGAGAGAGUCUGCUUGAUGCAUACAGGGGAAAAAAUAGAAAGGAAUUAUAUGUAGGGUAGAAGAGGAUACAGGAGCACCAGCAAUAUAGGUAAAGGCAGAAGUUUCAUAGUUUGUCCUAAUGAAUAACUGUUAACUGCAGAAAUAAAAUCUAUGAAGAGACGAGUGAUUAAGGCACUGGCCUGAGUCUCAGCAGACCUGGAUUCGGUUCCUGGCUGUUUUCGGAUUUCUGUCUGACUUUUGGCAAGCCUCUUCAACUCUCUGCGCCUUGGUUUCCCAUCUGUUAAAGGGGAAUAAUAAUAUUUCCUUUCUCUCCUGCCUAUUCCAGCAGCAAGCCCAGAAGGGCAGGCUCUGUCUCUCAGUGUGCGCACAGGACUUUCCCCACUGGGGUUUUGAUCCCUGCACUGAGGCAGGACGUACAGGGAUGGGGAGUGCCAGCCAUAGGAGCCCACUUAUUUACUAUUUCUGGUUACUAAGGGACUAAAAGGCAUGCUGUAACCUGUUAAACAGAUUUCUUAAUAUCAGUUCUUCAGUAACA